rnacentral:tRNA from 1 species
GGGAAGGUGGCUCAGUGGUAGAGUGCUUGCCUUGCAUGCAUGAGGCCCUGGGUUUGAUUCCUCUGCCCC